GAUGAACGCUAGCGGCAGGCUUAAUACAUGCAAGUCGUGGGGCAGCAUGAGUAGCAAUACUUGAUGGCGACCGGCAAACGGGUGAGGAACACGUACACAACCUUCCUUCAAGCGGGGAAUAGCCCAGAGAAAUUUGGAUUUAAUACCCCAUAAUAUAUUUGAUAAGGCAUCUUAUUAAUAUUAAAGCUUCGGCACUUGAUGAUGGGUGUGCGGCUGAUUAGAUAGUUGGCGGGUAACGGCCCACCAAGUCUACGAUCAGUAGCUGAUGUGAGAGCAUGAUCAGCCACACGGGCACUGAGACACGGGCCCGAUCCUACGGGAUGCAGCAGUAAGGAUAUUGGACAAUGGACGAAAGUCUGAUCCAGCCAUGCCGCGUGAAGGAUU
rnacentral:rRNA from 1 species